rnacentral:rRNA from 1 species
UACGGGAGGCAGCAGUGGGGAAUAUUGCACAAUGGGCGCAAAGCCUGAUGCAGCCAUGCCGCGUGUAUGAAGAAGGCCUUCGGGUUGUAAAGUACUUUCAGUCGUGAGGAAGGUGUUAAGGUUAAUAACCUUAGCAAUUGACGUUAGCGACAGAAGAGCACCGGCUAACUCCGUGCCAGCAGCCGCGGUAAUACGGAGGGUGCGAGCGUUAAUCGGAAUUACUGGGCGUAAAGGGCACGCAGGCGGUUAAUUAAGUUGGAUGUGAAAUCCCCGGGCUUAACCUGGGAAUGGCAUUUCAAGACUGGUUAGCUAGAGUCUUGUAGAGGGGGUAGAAUUCCAUGUGUAGCGGUGAAAUGCGUAGAGAUGUGGAGGAAUACCGGUGGCGAAGGCGGCCCCUGGGACAAAGACUGACGCUCAUGUGCGAAAGCGUGGGGAGCAAA